ACCUACGGGGGGCAGCAGUAGGGAAUCUUCCACAAUGGACGAAAGCCUGAUGGAGCAACGCCGCGUGAGUGAAGAAGGGUUUCGGCUCGUAAAGCUCUGUUGGUAGUGAAGAAAGAUAGAGGUAGUAACUGGCCUUUAUUUGACGGUAAUUACUUAGAAAGUCACGGCUAACUACGUGCCAGCAGCCGCGGUAAUACGUAGGUGGCAAGCGUUAUCCGGAUUUAUUGGGCGUAAAGCGAGUGCAGGCGGGUCAAUAAAACUUAUGUGGAAGGCCUCGG
rnacentral:rRNA from 1 species